rnacentral:lncRNA from 1 species
AGGAGAAGGGAAGAAGAGGAGAAGAAGAGAAGGAGAAGAAGAAGAAGAGGAAGAGAAGAAGGAGAAGCGGGAGAAGAGGUUGUGACACCACUGUUUCCUACAGGAGGAAACAGAGGAGAGGGUGUGUGUGGCACCGGGGAGGAGAAGGGAAGGAGAGGAGAAGAAGAGAAGAAGAAGAGUAGGGGAGAAAGAAGAGGCUGCGGCUGUGGCGGUGGCAGCUGCUGUCACGCCCUUCAAAAUAUCCAUGAUAUUAAAAUUUUUAACACAAACCAAUCCAGGAUCCAAACACACAUUUGAGAACACUGAAAAACAUUCUAUCAAAUUCACAUCUAUAAAACCUGUGCAGUUUAUAAUCAUAUAUCACCUAACUCGAUAAUUCACAUUUAUGGUAACCCAAGCCAACUUGACAAACAUAAACAACAUUUAUAAAUUCACAAGCUAAAUAAAUUAUACAAUCAGAACUCCAACUAUUCACCAUAAGUUCAUAUCAUCAUAAAUUAGACUUAACAUUCUGAAAUUCCAAAUAAGAGAGAUCUUCUAACACUUUUACACAGUAUAUCCAUUUCGAUUCAUCGACAACAUUUCAUUUCAUACAAAAUAUGCUUAUACAACAAUAACAUAAUAACCAACAAGACUUGCCCAUAAUUCAGAAUAGCUCUCCACUGCCUCGGCCCAAUUCAAACAUCUCAAAGAGUGACAAGCUGACCU